rnacentral:snRNA from 1 species
AUAUGGCCGACGCGGGUCAAAGUGUAGUAUCUGUUCUUAUCAUCUUAAUAUCUGAUGCGGGUUCUAUUUGGACCCAAAGUCCAACUUGCAAACUUAUUUUUGCAAGUUGGCGCAAUGCUUGAAGCAUGCUUCAUCUCCGCAGUGGGUCGGCCCGGUAUUGCGCUAUCUCCGGGUUCGGCCCACUGUUU